GCUGGCGGCGUGCUUAACACAUGCAAGUCGAACGAUGAUCCCAGCUUGCUGGGGGAUUAGUGGCGAACGGGUGAGUAACACGUGAGUAACCUGCCCUUGACUCUGGGAUAAGCCUGGGAAACCGGGUCUAAUACUGGAUAUGACCUUCUGGCGCAUGCCAUGUUGGUGGAAAGCUUUAUUGCGGUUUUGGAUGGACUCGCGGCCUAUCAGCUUGUUGGUGGGGUAAUGGCCUACCAAGGCGACGACGGGUAGCCGGCCUGAGAGGGUGGACGGCCACACUGGGACUGAGACACGGCCCAGACUCCUACGGGAGGCAGCAGUGGGGAAUAUUGCACAAUGGGCGCAAGCCUGAUGCAGCGACGCCGCGUGGGGGAUGAAGGCCUUCGGGUUGUAAACCUCUUUCAGUAGGGAAGAAGCGAAAGUGACGGUACCUGCAGAAGAAGCGCCGGCUAACUACGUGCCAGCAGCCGCGGUAAUACGUAGGGCGCAAGCGUUAUCCGGAAUUAUUGGGCGUAAAGAGCUCGUAGGCGGUUUGUCGCGUCUGCCGUGAAAGUCCGGGGCUUAACUCCGGAUCUGCGGUGGGUACGGGCAGACUAGAGUGAUGUAGGGGAGACUGGAAUUCCUGGUGUAGCGGUGAAAUGCGCAGAUAUCAGGAGGAACACC
rnacentral:rRNA from 1 species